GCUAGGUGUGGUGGCACGCACCUGUAAUCCCAUCUAUUUGGGAGGCUGAGGCAGGAGAAUUGCUUGAAUCUAGGAGUUGGAGGUUGCAGUGAGCCAAGAUUGCGCCACUGCACUCCCAGCCUGGGCAACAGAGUGAGAUCCUGUCUCAA
rnacentral:SRP_RNA from 1 species